rnacentral:rRNA from 1 species
CUUGGUCAUUUAGAGGAAGUAAAAGUCGUAACAAGGUUUCCGUAGGUGAACCUGCGGAAGGAUCAUUCAUAAUAAGUGUUUUAUGGCACUUUUUAAAUCCAUAUCCACCUUGUGUGCAAUGUUAAGAGGAACAACUAGAGAGAUCGUAAAAAAAUCUCUGUUCUUGUUCUUUUUCUAUAACAAACUCAUUUUUUUAACAUAUCGUCUGAAAACUAUUAUGAAUACUUAAUUCAAAAUACAACUUUCAACAACGGAUCUCUUGGCUCUCGCAUCGAUGAAGAACGCAGCGAAAUGCGAUACGUAAUGUGAAUUGCAGAAUUCAGUGAAUCAUCGAAUCUUUGAACGCAUAUUGCACUCUUUGGUAUUCCGAAGAGUAUGCUUGUUUGAGUAUCAGUAAACACCUCACAACCAAUUUUCUUUUUAAGAAUCUUGGAAGUGGACUUGAGUGAUCCGUACUCUCUCUCGAGAGGGGCCGGUUACUUGAAAUGCAGGUGCAGCUGGACUUACAACUGAGCUAUAAGCAUAUCUAUUUAGUCUCGUAAAACAGAUUAUUCAUUUUGCUAAAGCUACUCUAAAGUUGUAUUUCCAUAUGGCUGACUGAUGCAGGAUUCACAGAGUGGACGUCAAAAACCCAUUUUGUAAACUCGAUCUCAAAUCAAGCAAGACUACCCGCUGAACUUAAGCAUAUCAAUAAGCGGAGGA